rnacentral:rRNA from 1 species
AUUGAACGCUGGCGGCGUGCCUAACACAUGCAAGUCGAGCGGUAACGCGGGAGCAAUCCUGGCGACGAGCGGCGAACGGGUGAGUAAUGCUUCGGAAUCUGCCCAAUGGUGGGGAAUAACCAGCCGAAAGGUUGGCUAAUACCGCAUACGUCCUAUGGGAGAAAGCGGGGGAUCGUAAGAACUCGCUCCGAUGGAUGAGCCGAAGUCGGAUUAGCUAGUUGGUAGGGUAACGGCCUACCAAGGCGACGAUCCGUAGCUGGUCUGAGAGGACGACCAGCCACACUGGGACUGAGACACGGCCCAGACUCCUACGGGAGGCAGCAGUGGGGAAUAUUGGACAAUGGGGGAAACCCUGAUCCAGCGACGCCGCGUGUGUGAAGAAGGCCUGCGGGUUGUAAAGCACUUUUAGUGGGGAUGAAAAGCUCAGGGCUAAUACCUCUGGGUCUUGACCUAACCCAAAGAAAAAGCACCGGCUAACUCUGUGCCAGCAGCCGCCGUAAAAC